rnacentral:tRNA from 1 species
GGAGGGCUGGCCGAGAGGCAAGGCACCGGGUUGCUACCCCGUGGUCCGGGACGACGUCCCGGCGCGCGUUCGAUCCGCGCGCCCUCCG